GGGACUCGCGAAUGAGCAGGAUGCACGGAGGCGCUGCUUCUCAAGUCCAACAAAGGACACAGCAGCAUUUGUUGGUCGGAUUUUAGCAGAUGGGAGAUGAGGAUUUGAGCCUGAUCUGAUUUCUCAUAUUUCUUUCAGGAGAAUGUUUCUAGUCUUCCGAGUAGAUUAUAUCAAACUUGCCCCAAUGCCUGCGCUAGAUCCGGCCACCUAGGCUGCAGAUGAGCAUGCAACUGCACGUUGUGAUUACCCCCAAUUUUUCUUGCUGCUGCCUUUUUAUUCGUUGGAAAAGGUACCUCGGUUCGGGAAGCUUUACAACCCACCGAACAUGAUCAGGAAGCUUUUGACACAAACUGUAGGAACUCCCCCAUCAUAGUUACCGUCUCUUAUCAAUUUGAACUACUGUAAUUACUAGUUUAUGGUAAAUUUGUCCUGUCAUUGGAUUGACCGGUUCCACAGCACAUGAUGAUGUAAGCUUGUGGUAACUUUCCAGAGUCGCAGUCCUUGAAACAUACAAGCGGCGUCAACAGUUGAUUUGGCGC